UAUGAGCAAUGCAGACUUCUGAUUGCAGCUGUGCUCUGUGUUUCACGGCAAAUGACAUACAGGUGUCGCUCAUUUCGCGCCUCGCCUCCACUCUUGUGGAAACAGAAUCAGCAGCGGCCGCCGUGACAGGAUGUGAAUUUCCCGCUCCGAGGUCAUCGCUCCGCGCAACUCGACUUAACCCCGCUUCUGGCAGUCGGCACUGCUUCUCCCCCGAGGCUGUGAGUCCUUCACUGACCCAAAGAAUCCCAGAACAACAAACCCUUCUUCUUUUUUCUUUCUUUUUUUUUCUUACUGCAAGCGGGGGGCCUGGAAGUCAUCACUGAUACUGGCAACAGUCAAGAGAGCUUGGAGGUCAUCAAUAACGACUCCAUUUACUUAACACCGACCCAAACACCUGCUCAUUCAUCACGGCUGACACGCGUCAGCCUGGUUCAUUUCUCACACGGGAGCCGGUCAGCCGGCGCAAGAUCUCGAUCGGGUCACCUCCGGGGAUUGGUUCUCUGCAGGCAGAGCCGAGUUUAAAGCCACUUGGCUCGCGGUUCUUCUCGCGUGUUGGCUGCGUUUCAACGCGGCAGUGCGUCGAUGGGUCGAGCGUUCCCGCACGGCGGUCGGAUUGCGCCUCGUCACCGAUUCCCCGCGUGGUCUGACGAGCCAAAUUCAGCGCCUUUUUAUUUUUGACGUUACAAGCAGGGGCGGCACAAAUAUUUUUUGGGGCAUGUGCUCAAGUGGAUGAAAGGGGGCACCUUGUGAGGAGUGUAGAAUCACCAGCUGCCUUAGCAGGGUUCUCUAGCACCACCUACUGUCCAUCUGUGCCCGUCCCUGAUUGGAAGUACUCUGGCUUGUACCACGCACAAACGAUCAACAUUGAAACACAGCAAAUCUGUAUCGUUUAGCCAGCAGCUCCGUCUGGUUUUGUCGUCCAGAGUGAGACGUUGAGACAUGUCCAAACACUCGUGGAGAAUUGUGCAGAUCUACGCUGAUCUAUGCUGGGCUAUACAGAGAUAAAUACACAUUUAGGAGCGAUACAUCUCUCUCCUAAACUCGAGCAAAGUAAGUUGGAGUGAGAUGGCGCACACAUCAAGUCUAUGUCUGGCCUCCGGCGCUGUGUGUGCAGAAUCCUCAGAGAAGAAGAAUGUAACAAGCAG